CCCAAACUGCAGGGAUUAUAGACAUGAGCCACCUCGCCUGGCUGCAGAAAGGAUAAUUUCUACUGAUCUAUCUAUAUCUAUAGAUGUGAGAUGACAGGAGGAAAUAAUCAGUAAGUUCAGACUUCUGCUGUUCUUAUAUGACAUUUGGGCAGAUUUCAUGAAUAUACCCUUUUUAGUUUAUUAUUUGCUUUUGGUUGAUUUCCAGUCCUAAAAUGCUUGUUUAAACAGUUUUAUACUUAUUUUUAAAAUGAAACACUUUGUGAAUUUGUGUGUCAUCCUCGUGCAGGGGCCAUGCUGAUCUUCUCUGUAUCGUUUCAAUUUUAGUUCAUGUGCUGCUGAAGUGAGCAAAACAAUUUUUACUUUUAUAUUUGUUUUGUGGGGAGAGGAUUUGUCCACCUUUUUCGGCUGCUCUAACUUGAAGUAUCAUCUCUACUUUUCUGCUAUUUUUGUACACUUGGCAACAAUGUGGGACCCUCAUUUAAAAGUGCAAGCAACCUUAUAAAAGAGACUCCAGAAAGAUUCCUCACCCCCUUUACCAUGUGAAGACCCAGAAAAAGACAGCCAUCUAUGAUCCAGGAAGCAGACCCUCACCAGACUCCAAAUCUACCAAUGCCUUGACUUUGUACUUCCAGCCUCUAGGACCAUGAGUAACUAAUCUCUGCCUAUGGCAUUUUGUUAUAGCAGCUUGAACAGACUAAAACAAUCACUUGUGUAUAAGGAAAAUUAACUUUUCGCGAGUUAUUUUUAUGGCAGUUAACCCCCACUCGAGGAUAUUCAGCAAGUAAUUGUAGAAGGAGACAGGAACCCAUCUCUGUCUGCAACAAUUCUGAAAAAAAUCUCUUAAACACCACAGUUCAACAGGAGGAUGCAUCCUGAAAGAGAAAUGGGCUUCAUUUUAGAGGACCAAGAACUUUGCUUCAUUCCUGGCAGCAUGCAUUGCUCAUGGCAGCAUGAAAAAAACAGAGUCCUGAGUAUGAAGUAGAAAAAAUAGUGGACUAGAAGUAAUGGCUCACUUGGUAAGCUGUGGGGCUUUUGGCAAAUUCUUUAACCUCUCUGGGGCUCUGUUACAACAUCUGUAAGGUAAGGUGUUUGGACUAGAUGAUCUUUUUUAUUCAGCAACGUAAACUGUGCUGCGUGCCAGGCAGUAGGAUCUUGAGUUGAGUCACACAUGGUCCUGGUUCACAUUCUGGCUGAUAAGAGCUGGAAGAGGAGCUAAUUAAAAAUACCAGCAGACACACAGGAGAGGAUAAUUAUUCUGUUUGCUAGGGCUUGGGAGCUGAUAUUUCAAAAGUAGAAAUUCCCCAGAAAUUUAUUAAUUUUGUCAUCAUUCAUUCAUUUAUUCAACAAAUGUUGACACUAUGGCAACUGUAUACCAGGGUGCCUACUUUCUAUGAAGAAUGGGGAAAUAGUCAUGAAGAAAGCAGACAAAAUCUUUACUUUCUUUCAGUUUAGUCUAAGCUGAAGGUGCUAGGGGAGGUUGGGAAAAGGUACUAUUAGUAUUUAGCAUUGAAUGAAUAUUUAAUAUUGUUUCAUUUCACUCUCCCAGUAUAUCCACAAAGAAGGCAGUACCCUCACUUUACAGAGAGAAACCUGAGGCCUAGAGGAGUGAAAUAAUUUACUGAGCUCAUACUAAUAAGUCAUAAGGACUCAAGCCCACCGCUGCCUGUGUUCAGAGCUCCAGCAUUUACCCGUAUUGCAAUUUUAUGGCAGAAGUGGCUUCCUCAGCCGCUGGGUGAGUGAACACUUGGUUCGCCUUGCCAACACUUCCUCUUUGAGUAACAGUGCACCUGUUUUCCUCUGGAGAGCUAAGUCCUCCCACUCUCAAUUCAGUCCUGUAAAGAGGAGCUCUCAUCCCUCCUACAGGUGUCAGAGGUGAGGUCAUGCUGUGGGCUUAAUGUAUCAGACCACGUCCUUCUAGGCACAGUGAUUGGCCCAACCAGUGAUGGGCACAUGACCAGGCUACACCAAUUGGCAUCAAUGCCUGGACUUUUGCUGGAAAUAUUGAAAAAGAGUCUUGUUUUUUUUCUCCUGGGAUUUAAACUGUAGACUGUAAGCCUAGAGUAGGUGAUGUUCUCCAGAAGGGGUGAGGGAGCCUGCCUGAAAAAUGAAGCUUAUAGAGAAGCACAUUAGUUCAUUCUCACAUUGCUAUAAAUAAAUACCUAAACCUGGAUAAUUUAUAAGAAAAGAGGUUUAAUUGGCUCAUGGUUCUUCAGGCUGCACAGGAAGCAUAGCACCAGCAUCAGCCUCUGGGGAAAUCUCAGGAACUUUCCAAUCAUGGGGGAAGGUGAAAGGAGAGCAGGCGUCUCUCAUAGUUGGAGCACGAGGAAGAGAGAUGGAGAGUGGGGAGGGAAGUUUUGUUGUAGGACUUUUCCCUUAGUUCAGCUAAGGGCUGGGUUCUUGUCACAUGGCCAUGAGAGAUCAGGCAUGUAGACACUUUUUUUUUUUUUUUU